rnacentral:rRNA from 1 species
UACGAAGGGGGCUAGCGUUGUUUGGAAUCACUGGGCGUAAAGCGCACGUAGGCGGACUUUCAAGUCAGGGGUGAAAUCCCGGAGCUCAACUUCGGAAUUGCCUUUGAUACUGUAGGUCUCGAGUCCGGAAGAGGUGGGUGGAAUUCCUAGUGUAGAGGUGAAAUUCGUAGAUAUUAGGAAGAACACCGGUGGCGAAGGCGGCCCACUGGUCCGGUACUGACGCUGAGGUGCGAAAGCGUGGGGAGCAAACAGG